UACAGAGGGGGCAAGCGUUGUUCGGAAUUACUGGGCGUAAAGGGCGCGUAGGCGGCCUGUUAAGUCGAACGUGAAAUCCCCGGGCUCAACCCGGGAACUGCGUCCGAUACUGGCAGGCUUGAAUCCGGGAGAGGGAUGCGGAAUUCCAGGUGUAGCGGUGAAAUGCGUAGAUAUCAGGAGGAACACCUGCGGUGUAGACGGCUUUCUGGACCAUUGUUGACGCUGAGACACGAAAGCGUGGGUAGCAAACAGG
rnacentral:rRNA from 1 species